GUCUCUUCGAUAAACAAUAUGAAGAGUCGGCCCUGCCCAGUGGCGUCGUGCUAAACGGUCGCAACGAAUAGUUGUGCUAAGGUAGCGCAAUCAAUUGUCCUUUAAUUGGGGAAAGGAAUGAAAGGGUUGACGAGGGGAAAACUGUCUUUGUAGUAUAAUUUGAAGUUUUCUUUUAUGUGAAAAGACUUAGAUUUUGGAAUAAGAAGAGAAGACCCCGGCGAGCUUGUUAAGGGUUAUUAGGUUAAAAUAAUUAUUGAGUUUUGUUGGGGCAACGCAAAGGGAAAAUUACUCCUUUGAAUAAAAUACAGAUCCACUUAGAGUGAAUAAAGCAAAAGCUACCGCGGGGAUAACAGCGCAAUUUUUUCAGAGAGUUCAUAUCGAAGAGGAAGUUUGCGACCUCGAUGUUGGAUUAAAGUUUCCUCUUGGUGCAGGGGCUAAGAAGGUAG
rnacentral:rRNA from 1 species